AUUGAACGCUGGCGGCAGGCCUAACACAUGCAAGUCGAACGAGUGGCGGACGGGUGAGUAAUGUCUGGGAAACUGCCCGAUGGAGGGGGAUAACUACUGGAAACGGUAGCUAAUACCGCAUACCAUCGGAUGUGCCCAGAUGGGAUUAGCUAGUAGGGGGGGUAACGUAUACCCUAGGCGACGAUCCCUAGCUGGUCUUAGAGGAUGACAAGCCACACUGGUACUGAGACACGGUCCAGUCUCCUACGGGAGGCAGCAGUGGGGAAUAUUGCACAAUGGGCGCAAGCCUGAUGCCGCAAUGCCGCGUGUAUGAAGCAGGCCUUCGGGUUGGAAAGUACUUUCAGCGAGGAGGCGUUACUCGCAGAAGAAGCACCGGCUAACGCCGUGCCAGCAGCCGCGGUAAUAC
rnacentral:rRNA from 1 species